GACGGAGGGGGCUAGCGUUGUUCGGAAUGACUGGGCGUAAAGGGCGCGUAGGCGGCUUUUUAAGUGAGGCGUGAAAGCCCUGAGCUUAACUCAGGAGGUGCGUUUCAUACUGGAAGGCUUGAGUACGAGAGAGGAAAGUGGAAUUCCUAGUGUAGAGGUGAAGUUCGUAGAUAUUAGGAAGAACACCAGUGGCGAAGGCGACUUUCUGGCUCGUAACUGACGCUGAGGCGCGACAGCGUGGGGAGCAAACAGG
rnacentral:rRNA from 1 species